CAGUCGCCGCGGUAAUCCGAAGGGGGCUAGCGUUGUUCGGAAUUACUGGGCGUAAAGCGCACGUAGGCGGAUAUUUAAGUCAGGGGCGAAAUCCCAGAGCUCAACUCUGGAACUGCCUUUGAUACUGGGUAUCUUGAGUAUGGAAGAGGUGAGUGGAAUUCCGAGUGUAGAGGUGAAAUUCGUAGAUAUUCGGAGGAACACCAGUGGCGAAGGCGGCUCACUGGUCCAUUACUGACGCUGAGGUGCGAAAGCGUGGGGAGCGAACAGGAUUAGAUACCCCAGUAGUCCCUGUCUCUUAUAC
rnacentral:rRNA from 1 species